AGCGUCUCUCAACAUUGGGUUCGGAAUGAUGCACCAUGUAAAGGUUGCACCAAGGUAAAGUAUAGCAAAAUUAGAUUAGGCAUCAUUCUGAAGUGUAAAUAUUGAAUCCUUAACAUAAACUUUUCACAAUGUGUGGACCAGUUUUGUGCUGCAUUUAUCAUCAGACCAUCAUUUUGGGAUGCUUGCAGUAGAUGUGAUAUAGCCCAGACAAAAGGCCUUACGGUGUAAUGGAUUUUCAAUUACUUCCGUCAUUUUGGAAUUUCGGUAAUUUAAGAGACUAGAAUUGUCUGAAACCUACAAUUUUAGGACAACCAUUCCUUUUACCGGCUUCUCAUUCACUUUUCUGUUCAAUUUUCAUGUAUUUUUUACAAUUUGUGUUUUAUUUUCUCACAAUUUAGGG
rnacentral:lncRNA from 1 species